UAGGGAAUCUUCGGCAAUGGACGAAAGUCUGACCGAGCAACGCCGCGUGAGUGAAGAAGGUUUUCGGAUCGUAAAACUCUGUUGUUAGAGAAGAACAAGGACGUUAGUAACUGAACGUCCCCUGACGGUAUCUAUCCAGAAAGCCACGGCUAACUACGUGCCAGCAGCCGCGGUAAUACGUAGGUGGCAAGCGUUGUCCGGAUUUAUUGGGCGUAAAGCGAGCGCAGGCGGUUUCUUAAGUCUGAUGUGAAAGCCCCCGGCUCAACCGGGGAGGGUCAUUGGAAACUGGGAGACGUGAGUGCAGAAGAGGAGAGUGGAAUUCCAUGUGUAGCGGUGAAAUGCGUAGAUAUAUGGGGGAACACCAGUGGCGAAGGCGGCUCUCUGGUCUGUAACUGACGCUGAGGCUCGAAAGCGUGGGGAGCAAACAGG
rnacentral:rRNA from 1 species